CGAAGCAACGCGAAGAACCUUACCAGGCCUUGACAUGCAGAGAACUUUCCAGAGAUGGAUUGGUGCCUUCGGGAACUCUGACACAGGUGCUGCAUGGCUGUCGUCAGCUCGUGUCGUGAGAUGUUGGGUUAAGUCCCGCAACGAGCGCAACCCUAUGCUAGUUACCAUCAUUAAGUUGGGGACUCUAGCGAGACUGCCAGUGAUAAACUGGAGGAAGGUGGGGAUGACGUCAAAUCAUCAUGCCCCUUAUGACCUGGGCUACAAACGUGAUACAAUGGCUGGAACAAAGGGAUGCGAAGCAGUGAUGUGGAGCGAAACCCAUAAAAACAGUCUCAGUUCGGAUUGAAGUCUGCAACUCGACUUCAUGAAGUCGGAAUCGCUAGUAAUCGCGGAUCAGAACGCCGCGGUGAAUACGUUCUCGGGGUUU
rnacentral:rRNA from 1 species